rnacentral:rRNA from 1 species
UACGUAGGAGGCAAGCGUUGUCCGGAAUUACUGGGCGUAAAGCGCGUGUAGGUGGUGGGACAAGUCUGCUGUGAAAGCGCCUGGCUUAACCGGGCGAGGUCGGCGGAAACUGUCCGACUAGAGGACGGUAGAGGGGGAUGGAAUUCCCGGUGUAGUGGUGAAAUGCGUAGAGAUCGGGAGGAACACCUGUGGCGAAGGCGGCCCCCUGGGCCGGCCCUGACACUGAGACGCGAAGGCGUGGGGAGCGAACGGG